CCUACGGGAGGCAGCAGUGGGGGAUAUUGCACAAUGGGGGGAACCCUGAUGCAGCGACGCCGCGUGGGUGAAGAAGCGCCUCGGCGCGUAAAGCCCUGUCAGCAGGGAAGAAAAUGACGGUACCUGAAGAAGAAGCCCCGGCUAACUACGUGCCAGCAGCCGCGGUAAUACGUAGGGGGCAAGCGUUAUCCGGAUUUACUGGGUGUAAAGGGAGCGUAGACGGCGACGCAAGUCUGGAGUGAAAGCCCGGGGCCCAACCCCGGGAGUGCUCUGGAAACCGCGGCGCUGGAGUACGGGAGGGGCAGGCGGAAUUCCUGGUGUAGCGGUGAAAUGCGUAGAUAUCAGGAGGAACACCGGCGGCGAAGGCGGCCUGCUGGACCGUGACUGACGUUGAGGCUCGAGAGCGUGGGGAGCAAACAGGAUUAGAUACCCUAGUAGUC
rnacentral:rRNA from 1 species